UACGAGAGGCCCAAACGUUAUUCGGAUUUACUGGGCUUAAAGAGUUCGUAGGCGGCGCAGAAAGUAGGGUGUGAAAGCCCUCGGCUCAACCGAGGAAUUGCGCUCUAAACUACUGUGCUCGAGGGACCUAGAGGUGAGCAGAACUGAUGGUGGAGCGGUGAAAUGCGUUGAUAUCAUCAGGAAUACCGGAGGGCGAAGGCGGCUCACUGGGGGGUCUUUCUGACGCUGAGGAACGAAAAGCCAGGGGAGCGAACGGGGAUUAGAAA
rnacentral:rRNA from 1 species